GAUGAGCGCUGGCGGCGUGCCUAAUACAUGCAAGUCGAGCGAACAGACGAGGAGCUUGCUCCUCUGACGUUAGCGGCGGACGGGUGAGUAACACGUGGAUAACCUACCUAUAAGACUGGGAUAACUUCGGGAAACCGGAGCUAAUACCGGAUAACAUGUUGAACCGCAUGGUUCAACAGCGAAAGACGGUCUUGCUGUCACUUAUAGAUGGAUCCGCGCCGCAUUAGCUAGUUGGUAAGGUAACGGCUUACCAAGGCAACGAUGCGUAGCCGACCUGAGAGGGUGAUCGGCCACACUGGAACUGAGACACGGUCCAGACUCCUACGGGAGGCAGCAGUAGGGAAUCUUCCGCAAUGGGCGAAAGCCUGACGGAGCAACGCCGCGUGAGUGAAGAAGGUCUUCGGAUCGUAAAACUCUGUUAUUAGGGAAGAACAAAUGUGUAAGUAACUAUGCACGUCUUGACGGUACCUAAUCAGAAAGCCACGGCUAACUACGUG
rnacentral:rRNA from 1 species